GACGAACGCUGGCGGCGUGCUUAACACAUGCAAGUCGAACGGAAAGGCCCUGCUUUUGUGGGGUGCUCGAGUGGCGAACGGGUGAGUAACACGUGAGUAACCUGCCCUUGACUUUGGGAUAACUUCAGGAAACUGGGGCUAAUACCGGAUAGGAGCUCCUGCUGCAUGGUGGGGGUUGGAAAGUUUCGGCGGUUGGGGAUGGACUCGCGGCUUAUCAGCUUGUUGGUGGGGUAGUGGCUUACCAAGGCUUUGACGGGUAGCCGGCCUGAGAGGGUGACCGGCCACAUUGGGACUGAGAUACGGCCCAGACUCCUACGUGAGGCAGCAGUGGGGAAUAUUGCACAAUGGGCGGAAGCCUGAUGCAGCAACGCCGCGUGCGGGAUGACGGCCUUCGGGUGGUAAACCGCUUUCGCCUGUGACGAAGCGUGAGUGACGGUAAUGGGUAAAGAAGCACCGGCUAACUACGUG
rnacentral:rRNA from 1 species